rnacentral:lncRNA from 1 species
CCCUGGGAAAUCCCUGUAUUCUCUCUUUGUAAGGAAACUAGGAGCGAAUUAUUUCCCUAAAUUCCAUCUUGUCAGUCUUGUAAAAUCCCUCUGGUCAAGAUUUGUUUUAUUGAUUUUAAUUCCAAUAUAGUCACUGAAUUUCACAGCUUUACCUUCCCUAUUCCUGUGAUCUUCUGGCCCCUAUGAUGACUUUAGCCAAGGCUUUGAUACAGCUGACUGAUGGAAAAAUCUGAGUCCCGUGGGCUGCUUCAGAACACAACCAGCUGUCUGUUUUGAACUUGGGCAGUUGACUCAGCUGUGACUCUCCCUAAACUUACAUCAGGAAGCCUACAUUGCUUCAUUUGCCAGAUUCUUAGUUAUCAUCAGUGUCUGUGAUAGGGACUGGAUUAGGUCAGGUCUGAGGAUUGAGUAAUGGUCAAGCCAGGCUGACUUUCUAAAUCAGCUUAGACUUUGACUCAGAAGACAAUGGAUCGACUUAAUUCAGCUCAGCGUUCUCUGAUAGAAGUAGCGCCUGAAGGAAACGCAGGAAUAGGACCCCGGUCUAUCUUGGCGAGUCUCCCAUUUUCCUUGUUUUUAAAGAGAAGAAAUAUGCUUUCUGUUACUGGCUGGCUGGCGUGUUCUUCUCUCAAUCCAGGAAGAAUUCCAAGGCAGAGAGUCAAAGGAGGACGGAGGAAAAGCAUUUACUGUGCAGGCGAAGCAGAAAGCAGCUUUUACUGUAAAGCUGAAGCAAACAGCUCCCAGACAAAAGGGUCUGGGGAGGGGCCAGGAAGGAGCUUCGGAAGAGUCUCUUCGUCUAGGGGCCUUUAUACUGCCUCUCAGCCAAUGUGAGAUGGACCUGUGGGGUUGCCUAAGGAAAGUCUGACAUACACGUGGGCCUGCAGAAGCUCAUGGUAUGUAGUAGGCGUACUUUUGCAACCACCAUUAACUAUACUUCUAAACAGAACAAAGGCAUUCUUUAGAAAUGUAACAGUGUCCCGUUACUAGGCAAGACAAUUCCACCCCUCGUGGAGGCCUUUGUUCCUGAGCCUCCAGGUGUCCUGCCCGUGGUCAUCAAACGUCCAUCACCGAGUCUUCCUGACUCCCUCCUUAGCGUGGCCUGUCCCUAGCUGCCUGUAACUCCCUUUGCCAGGCCCCUCCUCAUAAUCCCCUCCUCUCUUGGGGCAGUGUUGCCCUAAGAAAUCUCACCCUGUCACAGGGCCUGCUUGUCCUCAACACUGUCUCUUGUUAGGUUAGGAAAUGACACCCAAACCUUAGAGAGCAGAACGUCAGCCCAACCCCACCUGUGGAGGGCUCAUGGUUCAUUCUCCCCAGGUCUCUCAUUAUCUGCUGCUUCACUUUCUUAACCAUUACAUUCAAACGUCUGUGUCUUUAAUUAUUCUCCCCACGUCAGUCAUGUUCUCCUUGCUGGGACACAGGGCCCCAUACUCACAACUCAAUGAACUUUUUGGCUCAUGUCUCAGCAGUUUUCGUCCUCACAUCAUUGGCAACAUGGUGAAAACUGUUCAUGUCAUGGGGGCCAGGAAGUGGAAAGAGAAAGGAACAAAGAUACAGCCUUCUAGUUCAGAGCCCUAGGGACCCACCUCUUCCAACCAGAACCUGCCUCUUGACAGCAAUUCAGCUAUGGUGUUGCCAUAGUCCAACCACUUUCCAAAAGCCCUGCCCGUGGUGCACGAGGGUCUUGGGGACACCUAGAUGCAAACCAUGACCCCCUGCCCUUGACCCUUACAUCUCUAUGCAGAUGCAUUAGUCCACCUCUAAAGGUUGCCAAAGCCUUAAUAGUUUCAGCAUGGCUUAAAAGUCCCAGGUCAGAGUUCACUCUGAGAUUCAAGGCCAACUCUUAGCUGUGGGACUCUGUGAAAAUCAAAAAAAGUUAAACACUUCCAACAUGCAAUGGUGCUUGAUAGCAUUCCCAUUCCUAAAGGGAGAAAUAGGGGAACAGAAAGGAAUGAGACCAAAGCAAGACCAAAACCUAGCCGGGCAGACAUUAAAACCCAUAGUUCUGUGUGGGCCGCCCAGGGUGAGCUGAGGUGUGAGGAGAACCCUAAAUAGUUUGGGUGGUCCCUGUCACUGUGGCUCUGCCUGCUGGAGCCCCAUGGCUUUGCUCUUGGGCUAGUUUUUCUUUCUGUGGCCUUUCUCAGUGGCUGUUCCACGUUCCCAGCUUCUCCAGCUUCCUGCAGACUCCACUGCACCUUUGGCUCCACAAAGCUUUAUCCAUGGCCCUCCCAGGGGCCCUGCCUGCCUCCCAGGCCUCCUCUGAACCCUGGGUGGGAGCCUCCCUGACCCCACAGCUCUUGUAUUCUGCAUUCCUGUAAAACCAGCACCACGUGGAUGACACUGAUGUAUACCUCAAACUCGGUCAGUAAACAGGUCCCCUUGGAUCUUAGCUGCAGUGGCCUCUGUGUGACUGGAUGGCUGAGUAUCGUGAAAGGAAUCCCAGGAAACCAAUUCCCUAAGCAGCCUUUCUGCAGAAAGGCACCCUGGGGCUCUCUUCUCAAAGCAAAGGCUUUCAAAGGAUUUUUCCUUUACCCAUUUACACCCCUAAGCCAAUGAAGGACAGAGCCUUGGUUAUUCCUGAGAUGCCUUCAAGGCAUCUUUCCUAGUGUCCUGAUGCAAACUACUUGGCUUCUUUACAAUGCUAAUAUUGUCAACAACCAUGGUCCUCUUUGCAGGUGCUUCCUUUCUGGCAAAACUCCAAACUUUUCAACUCAUUGAGCAAAUCACUGAUUCUCACUGUAGAGUUGGGUAAAGGCUGCUAGAAGUAUCCAUGUCAUAUCCUGGACACUGGGUUGCCUUGAAAUUUCCUUUGUCAAGUUAAUUAGUUCACUGACCUUAAUCUCAGACUUCUGCAAAGUCUUAGAACAUGGGCAAAGUGUAGACAAAUUUUCUGCCAGAGAAUAACACACAUGGCCUCUGGUCCAACUGCCAAUGGAGUUCUUGCUCCCAACUGAAAUCUCCAGAGCCGGAUGUUUACCCUCCACCUUUCUAUCAGCAGUCUGGUCUUCUGAGUUCUGACCAGAAUCUCCUAUCAAGCUUGGCUGCCACCAUUCUUGGGCUGUUUUUCCAACCAGCAUCCCCAAACUCUUCCAAACUGUUACCACAAACCAGCGGCAAAGGAUUCUAAACCAUAUUGGUAGGUACUGUGACAGCAGCAACUGCACUUCUCUGCUACCAAAAUCUGCCUUAAUCACUUUGUCAUUACUGGGGUAUAAUACAAAACACCCACAACUUAAGGGAGAAGUUUAUUUUGGCUCACAUUUUAGAAGUUUCAGUCCUUUAGGGUUUUUUUUGUUUUUGUUGUUUUGGUACCAGGGAUGGAGCUUGGGACCUUCUGUUUGUCA